GGAAAGAUGACUGAGUGGUUUAAGGUACGGACCUGGAAAGUCCGCGUAGUUUUUUACUACCGAGGGUUCAAAUCCCUCUCUUUCCG
rnacentral:tRNA from 1 species